GAAAGGCUGUCCAUGGAAUCUGUAGCAUU
rnacentral:sRNA from 1 species